rnacentral:rRNA from 1 species
UACGUAGGGGGCAAGCGUUGUCCGGAAUCAUUGGGCGUAAAGCGCGUGUAGGCGGCUCGGUAAGUCUGCUGUGAAAGUCCAGGGCUCAACCCUGGGAUGCCGGUGGAUACUGUCGAGCUCGAGUCCGGAAGAGGCGAGUGGAAUUCCUGGUGUAGCGGUGAAAUGCGCAGAUAUCAGGAGGAACACCUGCGGCGAAGGCGGGUUGCUGGGCCGACACUGACGCUGAGGCGCGAAAGCUAGGGGAGCGAACGGG